GGCCAGUGAUGUCUCAAGUU
rnacentral:miRNA from 1 species